GAAUAUCGACAAGACUAAACAUAACUGAAUCGGAAAACAUUAAUUUUCAUUACAUAAAUACCAAAUACAUGAAUAGGAUUACAAAAGUCCAAUGAAUGAAUACAUAAUCGAGCUAACAACUGAACAUAAAUAGACUGAAUCUUAUACAAACAUAAGAUUAACAUAAUGUCAGCUCCAUAUAUAAUAUAAUCCAUGUAUCUGAAUCUUCAGGCUUCAAAGCCACGAUCCUCGAACAACCUGCUUAUCUAAAAUCAAAUAAGUGGGGAUGAGAAUAGUAACUUUCCUCUCCGUGGAUUUCCUACUACCCAAUUAUUAUUGGUGUCUGCACCGGGGGCAACUGAUGAACUAAAAGUUCCUUGAUCCUGAUUUCAUAAACAUAAUAAUGUAAAUGUGUAACAAAGAUUAAUUAUCUUGUUCAUUUUAACAUAUAUAACUAAGACACUUUGAGGUGAGCCGGUCUUAGAGGCCUGACAUAUCCGUCGUCGAUGGUUAUACGCAUCGACAUGUCAUACAAGCUCACAAUCGUAACAUGGUUGGAUUCCUCGAAUCCCAUAACGUGGUACAUAAGUACCACCAUGAUUAACCGACUUUCUUAACUUAACUUAAUUAUCAUGAUUGUUAUCCUGCCCAUGAAUUCCCUCCCAGGGGUAACUAACUUGUCUUGAUUUCCUGAUUAUCAUAACUUAACGUGUAAUUAACAUUUUAAUUAAGCAUUACACUUGUAAUAUUCAUAGAAAAGUAUCUAGGAAGGUAUAGGAUUGAAAAAUGUAUAACAGAUCCAAUUUCAAAUAUGUAGAGCUCUGAACUGGUAUUCUCGCUUAGCGAGAGGCAGCUCGCUUAGCAAGAAACAACCAAAUUGUUUCAGAACCAAGACGAGAGGACGCUUGUUGUGAGCUAUCAGUUCCCAGCUCUGUUUUGCGACUUUCACCAGUUUUGCAUUCAAAUUAUUAAUAUACACUUUAUCCUUCCUAGCUAUGAACAUCACAAUAUGUAAUAUUUGAUUAAAAUGGAGAGAUGCUUUGGGAUUAAGCUCCUCUCAUGCACCAAUUGACCCUAACCCAUGUUAUCAUGCAAUAAUUCAUAAUUGGGGACACCAACAUAGUUUCUAAGCUAGUGUUAUCAUACAUAAUUUAUUUGGGCAACUAAAGUGUCAUGCUAUCUAAAGGUUGAGCUUCUAAGGGAACCCACCUGAAAUUACUAGCAAUACCGAGCCAUCUCUCCCGCUUAGAACCAUCUGAUGGUGCUGCUCACAUAUGCAACCGCGCCACAGAUUUUCUACAUAAGACUGCUAGUGUCCAACUUCUAAUUUUUGCAUUUCAACUUCACACCAAACUCUUACUCAGCCAAUUAAGCAUACAUAUUUAGUUCUGGAAUCAUUCACCCAACUUAAACUCACAUUUUAGCUUAUUCCACAAAAUCCAUGCCAAAACCCAUAAGCAGUUUCCAGCAUCAAUAUCGAAACUUCAAAUGCGUUUUCUGAAUCCAUUUCUAAUCCAAAACAUACCAAAUUUAUAUCCAAGCUAAACGGAAUUAAGUGUAGAAUGCGAAACUCCAAAAAUUACACAAGUCUGGGCUACACAACAACAGCUAUGACUCGAUUAGCACCUGUACUGUCAUACUAAUUUUUAACUAAAAUUCCAUAGAAUUCAGCCAUAACCAUUCUAAUCAUACCAAUCAGUUUUAACAACAACACCAGACCAAGAGGAGGUAAAAAUUCGAUUUUGUUUUGAAGCUCAAACAAUGGAAAAGGAGAUUUGAACCAAUAUUCAUACCUUAGUUCCUUAGAAAUUUAGAAGCUUGAUAUUGAAUGAAUUUCUUGUAGAUGCAAGAAAGAAUUGAAAGAAUAGAAUUUAGGGCUUAGGGCUGUAACAUAAAUUAAAUAUGAGAGAGUUUCCUGAGUUGAUUUGACUUGCAUGUUGCAAUUGAGUGAAGAUUGAUAAGCUUCAAGAUGUUGUUGAAGAUGAAUUUGAGCUAAAGUUGAUUUCCUUCAAACAUCACUAGUGUUUGCGAGGUAAUAAAUGGAAGAGCAGUAUCUGAAAUUAUUAAAAUCGAAAACAAUAUAGAAUAUGUGGUGAUUGAGUAGGACAUAGAACAUUCAAAGGAAUUGAAUUUAUUUGGAGAAAUGGAACAUGGCGUGAGAGGAAGAGACAAUUGGU
rnacentral:lncRNA from 1 species